rfam:Streptococcus thermophilus LMG 18311, complete genome.
AAGAGUCACAAGAGGAGCAAUUGCUGAGAAUGGCUAGCUUGAAUCUUUUCUUCAAGACUCGCCUAAACUCUUACCACCUGAUCAGGUUAGAACCUGCGUAGGGAUGUGUCUCAAAAUAGAU